CAAUAACACAAGCUUCACAGGCUGAGAGAGCUGAGCACAAUGUCCUGGUUUGCAGGAAACUGAAACCGAAUUGAAUUUAUCUUAUUACAUUUUCAUUUUUACGUCUUCCUCAUCCAUCACUGCACAUUGCAGUUACUCCCCAGAUUGUACUCUACUGGUGUUUUUGUUUCAACAUCAACUUUAUCGGGGGCGACAGUGGUACAGUGGUCGAGAAGU